rnacentral:rRNA from 1 species
GUGCCAGCCGCCGCGGUAAUACGGAGGGUGCAAGCGUUGUUCGGAAUCAUUGGGCGUAAAGCGCGUGUAGGCGGUUGCCUAAGUCUGGUGUGAAAUCCCGGGGCUUAACUCCGGAAGUGCACUGGAUACUGGGUGACUAGAGGGCGAGAGAGGAUAGUGGAAUUCCUGGUGUAGGGGUGAAAUCCGUAGAUAUCAGGAGGAACAUCGGUGGCGAAGGCGGCUAUCUGGCUCGUUUCUGACGCUGAGACGCGAAAGCGUGGGGAGCAAACAGGAUUAGAAACCCUGGUAGUCC